GAUGAACGCUGGCGGCGUGCUUAACACAUGCAAGUCGAACGGUGAACGAGGGAGCUUGCUCCCUCCGGAUCAGUGGCGAACGGGUGAGUAACACGUGAGCAAUCUGCCCCGAACUCUGGGAUAAGCGUUGGAAACGACGUCUAAUACCGGAUACGACGCGCGAAGGCAUCUUCUGCGCGUGGAAGGAACUUCGGUUCGGG
rnacentral:rRNA from 1 species